rnacentral:rRNA from 1 species
UACGUAGGGUGCAAGCGUUGUCCGGAAUUAUUGGGCGUAAAGAGCUCGUAGGCGGUCUGUCGCGUCGGCUGUGAAAACCUGGAGCUCAACUCCGGGCCUGCAGUCGAUACGGGCAAACUGGAGUGUUGCAGGGGAGACUGGAAUUCCUGGUGUAGCGGUGAAAUGCGCAGAUAUCAGGAGGAACACCGGUGGCGAAGGCGGGUCUCUGGGCAACAACUGACGCUGAGGAGCGAAAGCGUGGGGAGCGAACAGG